UACGUAGGGGGCAAGCGUUGUCCGGAUUUAUUGGGCGUAAAGAGCGUGUAGGCGGUUUGGUAGGUCCGCUGUGAAAACUCGAGGCUCAACCUCGAGAGGCCGGUGGAAACCAUCAGGCUAGAGUCCGGAAGAGGAGAGUGGAAUUCCUGGUGUAGCGGUGAAAUGCGCAGAUAUCAGGAAGAACACCCGUGGCUAAGGCGGCUCUCUAGUACGGUACUGACGCUGAGACGCGAAAGCGUGGGGAGCGAACAGG
rnacentral:rRNA from 1 species